rnacentral:hammerhead_ribozyme from 1 species
GUCUAUCUGACGAGUCCCAAAUAGGACGAAACGCGCGUCGUGGAU